GACGAACGCUGGCGGCGUGCCUAACACAUGCAAGUCGAGCGAUGAAAUCCCUUCGGUGAUGGAUUAGCGGCGGACGGGUGAGUAACACGUGGGUAACCUGCCUCAAAGUGGGGGAUAGCCUUCCGAAAGGAAGAUUAAUACCGCAUAAUAUUAGAUUUUCGCAUGAAGAGCUAAUUAAAGAAGCAAUUCGCUUUGAGAUGGACCCGCGGCGCAUUAGCUAGUUGGUGAGGUAAUGGCUCACCAAGGCGACGAUGCGUAGCCGACCUGAGAGGGUGUUCGGCCACAGUGGAACGUAGACACGGUCCAGACUCCUACGGGAGGCAGCAGUGGGGAAUAUUGCACAAUGGGGGAAACCCUGAUGCAGCAACGCCGCGUGAGUGAUGAAGGUCUUCGGAUUGUAAAGCUCUGUCUUUUGGGACGAUAAUGACGGUACCAAAGGAGGAAGCCACGGCUAACUACGUGCCAGCCGCCGCCGUAACAC
rnacentral:rRNA from 1 species